GCGGGGUCACCUAGCCCUGCGCUCCCACCUGGGAGCACCUGGGACCCCUCCCCACCCCCCUGACCUGGGCCCUGCAGGGGGGCCCUGGAUGGAGAUUCCCGAGGGAAAUUCCCGACGGAGAGCGAGGAGGGAGCGCAGGAGCACCUGGAGCACCUGGAUGGGCUGGAGGAGCUGGAUGAGCUGGAUGCAGAAAUCCUGGGAAUGGCCAGAGCCAGGAAAGGCGCCAGGAAGGGAACGGGGAAAGAUCCCAAGUUCCUUCUGGAAAAGCCGUUCCCGGAGGAGGAGCCGGCGGGGCCUGGGGACAGAACGGGACAGAGCAGGGACAGCGGUGAGGGGACACGGGGACACAGGGGACGGCAGAGCUGGUGACACCAGGGGUGUCCCUGUGCUGGUGACACCAGGGGUGUCCCUGUGCUGGUGACACCAGGGGUGUCCCGGUGUUGGUGACACCAGGGGUGUCCCAGUGCUGGUGACACCAGG
rnacentral:lncRNA from 12 species